AACGAACGCUGGCGGCAGGCUUAACACAUGCAAGUCGAACGCCCCGCAAGGGGAGUGGCAGACGGGUGAGUAACGCGUGGGAACGUGCCCUAAGGUACGGAACAACUCCGGGAAACUGGAGCUAAUACCGUAUGUGACCGAGAGGUGAAAGAUUUAUCGCCUUAGGAUCGGCCCGCGUCAGAUUAGCUAGUUGGUGGGGUAAUGGCCUACCAAGGCGACGAUCUGUAGCUGUUCUGAGAGGAAGAUCAGCCACACUGGGACUGAGACACGGCCCAGACUCCUACGGGAGGCAGCAGUGGGGAAUCUUGGACAAUGGGCGCAAGCCUGAUCCAGCCAUGCCGCGUGGAUGAUGAAGGCCCUAGGGUUGUAAAGUCCUUUCGCCGAGGACGAUAAUGACGGUACUCGGAGAAGAAGCUCCGGCUAACUUCGUGCCAGCCGCCGCGGUAA
rnacentral:rRNA from 1 species